AGCAGAACACUAACUGUGAUACAAGACAGCCAGCUAACAGAGGCAGGCAGGCAAGGGUUAGGACUCCAGUCAGCCAGCUGAGGCAGGCAGGCAGGCAGGCAGGCAGGGGCCGCCACUCCAGCUGGAAUGAUACAGCACCGGCAACAGAGACGAGCCAGAUGGUUGAAAAGGAAACGGGGGGUCUCGUUAUCUACGAACAGUUUUUAUCUUGAAACUAGAUGACCAUUGUGGUCCUUUUCAACCCAUGUCACUCUAUGAUUAAUAAAAAAAAUGUCUCUUCAGUUAGAGGAGUUCAUAAGAGUCUCUUCGCACAUGGAUUUCAAAUCUGAGGAGAGAGAUUAACUCCUACUUAAUAGUACUGGAAACGGGCAGAAAUUUUCAGACAUAGACUUUAACAUAAAAUAGUUAUUGUAGUACUGUUGGCUAUAACAUUUUUGAAAAAGACCUAUAUAUGUCUUUAGACUAGAGCUUUCCAUGAUGACUAGUUCAGCUCUCUAUCUUGUUGCAGAGUGUAGGCAAGCAGCAUCAACAGGUCAGUCAAGAGCAAGCUUUCAGAGGAAUAAUUGCUUGCUUUCUCUUCUCUCCUUUUUCUGUCACAUGACUGUUUCAACAUGGAAACAGAGAAAAUUACAUUACUAUUUGGAAUAAAAGGUCAUGAAGUUUUUUUAGUUCACACUGUUUUGUUUUUUUUUUUAAGUGAUCAUGUACACCAAAGCAUAAAUAAUUACUAAGCCAAGAGCUAUUAGUUAACAUCAGUUUGCAUAAUGAAUAAUGGCUAAUAUGAAAAGUGAAAGGAGCCAACUGGCAAAGAUGUAAAAUUGGUGCUGACGUAAAAGGAUGCGCAGUAGAAGCGUGUGCGUAACCAGCAUUACUGCAGGUGUCAAGAAUUUGUUUUCAUCUUCAUACAAAAUACGGAUUUUGCUUCAGAGCACAAUAAUUCUAAUAAGUAUCCAAUCAUCCUGAUUAUUUAAUUAAGGACUAAUAUAUGUUCUAAUAAAAAAGAAACUUAAAAACAGAUUUGGAGAUACCAGCAAAAACAGUAUUAUUAGGAUAUCUAGUAUAUGUAACUUUAUUCUAAAUUCUGUGACUUUCCAAAUAGUCUAAACAUAUUUUAUGAUUAUAUACUCAAUGGAGCUUCAGGUGGAUCUGCAUCUCGUUCCUUAAAUAUUUAUUCAAAUGUUUCAGAUUUUUUAAGUAUAUCAGUCUCUUGAUAUUUCCUUUCAACAGCAUCAUUUUUAU
ensembl:lncRNA